ensembl:lncRNA
CCUUAAUCAAUGCAAAGUUUUGAUCAUUUAAACAUAAAAGUUGCAGUAUGUAACUUUUCUGGUCAUGUGCCCAUCUCCAUGGAGAUGUAAUUGAUUGGCCUGGAAUGUUCCAGGGUAUGGCAUUAAACCUAUUUAACUAUAGUUGUUUUCAUUUCUCAUAAAUACCUUGAAAAACAUCAACAGUUCUUAUGAGCGGGCUUGCCUCUCCACAGAUCUGACCUGGAGCUCAGCCUGAUGGACUCACCUGCUUGUCUCCAUGGAGAUAGAUCAUUUAUAGAGCGUACUGUGGAACAUUCCAGACAAGCAAAGAUAAAUGUCACUAAGUGCCAUAACAUUACUAUGAAAUUAUUCAAAUAAUUAGAGUAAUAGACUCUGUGCACGACAGCGCCCCCUGUCUGUGAGCGUCACUACUGUCCAGGUUUAUCUCUGAGGUUUUUGUCCAGACACUAAAAUGAAUAAAGAUUUAAAGAUCAGACAGUGGACAGGGAGCUGCAGGUGGGUCAGAGGUCAGGGGGUCAGACAGUGGACAGGGAGCUGCAGGUGGGUCAGAGGUCAGAGGUCAGGGGAUCAGACAGUGGACAGGGAGCUGCAGGUGGACGUCACUGUCACAUGUUAAACACAAAUAAAAUGAAAACUUCACCAGACACGUCUUUGUUUAGAGACGUUGGCUCAGUGCUAAUGCUAAUGCUAAUUUUGAGGCAUAAUACACAUUAAACCACCACAAACUACAGUUAUUUUUAUAAGCAGAAUACUUCAGUCUUUAUUUUAAUACAUUUUAAUUUUAAUAGUAGUUCAUUUUAAUAAUUUUCUGAUUUUAAUAAAAGUGUUUGUUAGCUCUGAGACAGUGAGCUAGCUAGCAUGUGCACAGAGCCAGUAAAAUGUGAUGUAACAAAAUAAUAAUAAUGUCUUACACUUGUAAUGUGCUUUUUCAAAGCCUCUACACUAGACUCAUGAUUCAUUCAUUUUCACACUUGGUGAUGGUCAGAUACAGCCACAGCUGCCCUGGGGCAGACUGACAGAAGUGAAGCUGACAAUCUGCGCCAUCGGCCCCUCCGACCACCACCAUCAUUCACACACACACC